rnacentral:rRNA from 1 species
CCUACGGGGGGCAGCAGUGGGGAAUAUUGGACAAUGGGGGGAACCCUGAUCCAGCCAUGCCGCGUGUGUGAAGAAGGCCCUCGGGUUGUAAAGCACUUUCAGUGAGGAAGAACGCCUGGUGGUUAAUACCCAUCAGGAAAGACAUCACUCACAGAAGAAGCACCGGCUAACUCCGUGCCAGCAGCCGCGGUAAUACGGAGGGUGCGAGCGUUAAUCGGAAUUACUGGGCGUAAAGCGCGCGUAGGUGGCUUGAUAAGCCGGUUGUGAAAGCCCCGGGCUCAACCUGGGAACGGCAUCCGGAACUGUCAAGCUAGAGUGAAGGAGAGGAAGGUAGAAUUCCCGGUGUAGCGGUGAAAUGCGUAGAGAUCGGGAGGAAUACCAGUGGCGAAGGCGGCCUUCUGGACUGACACUGACACUGAGGUGCGAAAGCGUGGGUAGCAAACAGGAUUAGAUACCCCGGUAGUC